UGCCAGACUCCUACGGGAGGCAGCAGUGGGGGAUAUUGCACAAUGGGGGAAACCCUGAUGCAGCGACGCCGCGUGGGUGAAGAAGUAUUUCGGUAUGUAAAGCCCUAUCAGCGGGGAAGAAAGAAGACGGUACCUGACUAAGAAGCCCCGGCUAACUACGUGCCAGCAGCCGCGGUAAUACGUAGGGGGCGAGCGUUAUCCGGAUUCACUGGGUGUAAAGGGAGCGUAGACGGCCGUGCAAGCCAGGAGUGAAAGGCCGGGGCCCAACCCCGGGACUGCUCUGGAAACUGCGGCGCUGGAGUACGGGAGGGGCAGGCGGAAUUCCUGGUGUAGCGGUGAAAUGCGUAGAUAUCAGGAGGAACACCGGCGGCGAAGGCGGCCUGCUGGACCGUGACUGACGUUGAGGCUCGAGAGCGUGGGGAGCAAACAGGAUUAGAUACCCGCGUA
rnacentral:rRNA from 1 species